GUAGGGUGCAAGCGUUGUUCGGAAUUAUUGGGCGUAAAGCGCGUGUAGGUGGCUAUGCAAGUCGGGUGUGAAAUCCCUCGGCUCAACCGAGGAAGUGCAUCCGAAACUACAUAGCUAGAGGACGGUAGAGGGAGGUGGAAUUCCUAGUGUAGAGGUGAAAUUCGUAGAUAUUAGGAGGAACAUCUGUGGCGAAGGCGGCCUCCUGGGCCGUUCCUGACACUGAGACGCGAAAGCGUGGGUAGCAAACAGGGAUUAGAUACCCUGGUAGUCCACGCCGUAAACGAUGAGUACUAGAUGUUGUGGGUAUUGACCCCCUACAGUGUCGCCGCUAACGCAUUAAGUACUCCGCCUGGAAGUACGGUCGCAAGAUUA
rnacentral:rRNA from 1 species